rnacentral:rRNA from 3 species
UACGGAGGGUGCGAGCGUUGUCCGGAAUCACUGGGCGUAAAGGGCGCGUAGGCGGCGCGAGCAGUCGAUCGUGAAAGUCCGGAGCUCAACUCCGGAUCGGCGGUCGAUACUCUCGUGCUUGAGCACUGUAGAGGCAGAUGGAAUUCCGGGUGUAGCGGUGGAAUGCGUAGAGAUCCGGAAGAACACCGGUGGCGAAGGCGGUCUGCUGGGCAGUUGCUGACGCUGAGGCGCGACAGCGUGGGGAGCAAACAGG